rnacentral:lncRNA from 1 species
CGGUCUCUCCAGGAAAGCGCUCCCUCUGUGAGCCUCAGGUUCCUAUAUCAGUAAAUCAGGGGGAUGACUCCAGUUCUCCCAAAUCCCUCCUAAGUUAAAGUGAAAGUCGUUCAGUGGUGUUUGACUCCUUGCAACCCCAUGGACUGUCCAUAGAAUUCUCCAGGCCAGAAUACCCUUUCCCUUACUCCAGGGGAUCUUCCUGACCCAGAAAUCGAACCGGAGUCUCCAGCAUUGCUGGCGGAUUCUUUACCAACUGAGCUAUAAGAGAAGCCUCCAAACUCCUCCUCACUCAGGCACUGAAUAGACAAAGGUUAAAUCAAGCUAUUGCUGCGGGCUUGUUACCAUUUCUGUAAGAGCAGAAAUGAAACUCUAGGUAAGAGCGGGCAGAUCAAACUUCAAAGUAAAUGAGCCCAAGUUCCGGGCCCAUCGGGUCUUCGCGGGUUCGAGCCCCAGUCUCCAGCGAAGCAGGCUGGCGAGACUCAGGAGUUCUGGCCCGAGACUCCCUUCGGUUGACAAACGGCGGGGCUGGGGGACAGAGUCUCAUGUGUCCAGAGGGCUGCGCCCCGCCGGAAAGGGGAACCGGGGGUCGCGGCGAGAAGUGCGAGCUAGGAGGCACCGCCAAGGCAGGUGGGAGCCUGGCCUGCCGAGUCGGAUCGGGGUCCGAGAGCGCGGAGUUUGGCAAGGAUGGGAGGUAACCACCCCACCCCCCGGGAGGUGCCAGGAGGCUGCAGCGUCCGCGCCUACUGCGCGCCUUGUUUGGGGGUUGGAGCUCGCAGUUGGCAGAGGCGGGCGCGCCGCGCGAAGGGGCUGAGCUCACGGGCCGGAGGCAGAGGGUUCGCAGCAGGAACCAGCUCCAGGGAUUCAUCCUCCUCUCGGCGACUCCGAGGCCCGGGACGCAGAGGCAAGGAAGGACUCACCAGUGGCUGCCCAGCCCAACUAGUCGGCGACCUAGAGGCUGCGGACUCGCCGAACGCCGGCCGUGGCGCACUAGGGAUCCGGGGAGCCUCUCGCCGGCUCCCUUCACGCCCCGCGCGGAGUCGAUCUCGGGAGCUCUGGCCCGUCAUCUCCCGCCCAAACCCAGCCCUGGCCGCCCGACACCUUGUGAGCCGGACAGAAGGGAAAAGUAAGAUUCCAUGACUGUCUUCUAAAUUCGAACGAAAAUCGUACUGCCUCUUGUCCUGUCUACGUUCCUGCUGCCAAUCCUGAGGGUGACUCUUGUUGGAAAGAAAUAGACCAAAGAAAUAAAUGAAAGGCUGUUUUUAAAG